UGCUUAGUUUCAAGGAGAUGGUGGAA
rnacentral:piRNA from 1 species